rnacentral:lncRNA from 1 species
GUCCAGCAGCAGGGACUAUGACUUCCUGGUCCCCAUCCAGUACAACACGAACCUGAUCCUUAUGGGCAGCCUGUAUAGAAAACUAUACACCCCAAAAAGUCUUCUGCCUGUCUGGGAGAGCUUGAAGCAUGGGGUGCCAGUGUACCGCUGAGGGAACAAAGUGGUGGUGGAUUAUAACAAACUGAUAAUAAGAGAUCUCUUGGAGAGGAAGACUGGAGACGUGGAUCUCACAGAGGAAGACAUAAAAACAAUAAAUGACCAGCAGCUUUGGAAGAAUAGCGUUAGUCCAUAUAGUGUAAUAACAGAAUUGUGGGAGUGUGUCCAGAAAGCUCUGACUGAAGAGCAAAGAAACCCUGCUACUGGAAUUAGUAAGUAAAAUUAUAUACAUUAAGGGACUCUCUAAGUGGAGGAGUUAUAAGCACAAGCACGAGGGAAAUAUAGAAGGGAAAACUGUUAAGUUGCUUAGGGUAAAAUAGUAAAUACGUUGAAAAGAGGUUGUGGGUUGGGUUUGAGGGGAUUGACAAGAGCUGUAGGGGGUGGGAGAGCCCCUGGCUGUGACAGUAGGGGCUGCUGGUUGGGGUUGAGGGGCACAAGCAGAGCUGUGUGUUGGGGAAGCCCACAGCUGUGAUAGCAGGGUCUGUGGGUCAGGGCAUUGGCAGAGCUGGGGGGCAUAAAGGGAGAAGCCCAGGGUUGGAGGUGAGGAUUAAGGGGCACCAGUGGAGCUGUGUGGUGAGAAAUUUUUCACUGUUCC